AAACGUCUCAGAUGGUCUCACUAACCCUGACCAGCCAACAUCACACGUCCCUGCCUUGAAAAAAAGAAAAAUCUUUCUUCUUUUUUUUUUUUUUCCAGGAAGGAAUGGAAAUUAUCAUCUACCCCCCACCCCAAGAGCCACAAGUUUGGCCAGCGAUCGCGCCCCUGUUAUUUGGGGAGGCAAUAACUCCUUUUUCCACUCUGCUCCAGCACAGGUUACGUUUGCGAGAGGAAUUUGCAAGGGGAGGGAAGGAGGGAGCCUCGUCGGGGCAGACGUGAUGUUUACAGCUCUGGAGAGCUCUGGGUCACUGAUCAAACCAGCAGCAAGUGGCCUGUGGACUCCCCAAACCAGCGCUGGUUUUAACUCUGAGCCCCCUUCUCCCUCCACCCCGGGGCUGUUUGCAGCCAGCCCCGCUCUUGCGUGCAGAAAACCUUCCCUGCACGCAGAAAUCGCUCCCAUCUGACACCUCCGAGAGCCCGUGCCGGGACGGGAAGAGGCAAUGCGAGCUGUACCUAAAUCUGGAAAACAAACAAGGACCAUUUGAUGCUCACAUCUUCUGCAAAAUGCUUGAAAGCAGGAACGUCUAUGAAAGUAAGGGCUCAGUGACUGAGGUUCCUCCAAAUUAAAAGCAAGACCGAGGUAAAUACAUGAGAAUUGUUCCCCCUAGCCUGCCAAAUAGCAAGAAUUGAUGCUCCUGAGGGGCAAAUACAUCGGUACAUGACUGGAUAUGUCCCUUCCUGGCCUUACUUCUGUACUGCACCCAGGGAGAAGUGCCUGGCUGUAAAGUGAGUAACAAAACAGAACAAAACAAA